rnacentral:tRNA from 1 species
GGGAAUGUGGCUCAGUGGUAGAGUACUUGCCUAGCAUGUAUGAGGCCCUGGGUUCAAUCCCUAGCACCA